rnacentral:tRNA from 1 species
GGGGCUACAGCUCAGUGGUAAAGCACAUGCUCAGUAUGCACCAGGUCCUGGGUUCAAUUCCCCAGUACCUCCA